GCGUGAGUGAUGAAGGCCUUAGGGUUGUAAAGCUCUUUUACCCGGGAAGAUAAUGACUGUACCGGGAGAAUAAGCCCCGGCUAACUCCGUGCCAGCAGCCGCGGUAAUACGGAGGGGGCUAGCGUUGUUCGGAAUUACUGGGCGUAAAGCGCACGUAGGCGGCUUGGUAAGUUAGAGGUGAAAGCCUGGAGCUCAACUCCAGAAUUGCCUUUAAGACUGCCGAGCUAGCAGGUGAGAGAGGUAAGUGGAAUUCCGAGUGUAGAGGUGAAAUUCGU
rnacentral:rRNA from 1 species